rnacentral:rRNA from 1 species
UACGUAGGGGGCAAGCGUUGUCCGGAAUCAUUGGGCGUAAAGAGCGUGUAGGCGGCCCGAUAAGUCCGCCGUGAAAGUCCAGGGCUCAACCCUGGAAUGCCGGUGGAAACUGUCGGGCUGGAGUCCGGAAGAGGCGAGUGGAAUUCCUGGUGUAGCGGUGAAAUGCGCAGAUAUCAGGAGGAACACCAAUGGCGAAGGCAGCUCGCUGGGGCUUUUCUGACGCUGAGGAACGAAAGCCAGGGGAGCGAACGGG